rnacentral:rRNA from 1 species
CCUACGGGGGGCAGCAGUAGGGAAUAUUGCAGAAUGGGCGCAAGCCUGAUGCAGCAACGCCGCGUGGGCGAUUGAAGGCCUUCGGGUUGUAAAGCCCUUUUGCGCGGGAAGAGGAAGGACGGUACCGCGCGAAUAAGCCUCGGCUAACUACGUGCCAGCAGCCGCGGUAAAACGUAGGAGGCGAGCGUUAUCCGGAUUUACUGGGCGUAAAGCGCGUGCAGGCGGCCCGGCAAGUUGGCUGUGAAAGCCCCCGGCUCAACCGGGGGAGGUCGGUCAAAACUGCCGGUGCUAGAGGAUGGG